GAUGAAGAACGUAGCGAAAUGCGAUACUUGGUGUGAAUUGCAGAAUCCCGUGAACCAUCGAGUCUUUGAACGCAAGUUGCGCCCGAAGCCACUAGGCCGAGGGCACGCCUGCCUGGGCGUCACACGUCGUUGCCCCCCCAUCUACUCCUUCGGGAUUGCGGGGGGGCGGAUGAUGGCCUCCCGUGCGCCUAGCCGCGCGGUUGGCAUAAAUACCAAGUCCUCGGCGACGCACGCCACGACAAUCGGUGGUUGCGAAACCUCGGUUGCCCGUCGUGUGCGUUCGUCGCGCAUCGAGGGCUCGAAAAAAUGCUCGGCUCCGGCUGGGCUUUCAACGCGACCCCAGGUCAGGCGGGGUUACCCGCUGAAUUUAAGCAUAUCAUAAGCGGAGGA
rnacentral:misc_RNA from 1 species